UAACCGCAUUUGGGUUUGAACUGCCAAGAGGUUCUACUGACCACAUUGCCAUGCCUGGAAGAACCGAGGACUCGUGAGUGAAGAAUGCUAAGUCACGCAGCCUCUAGGAAGGUUCCCCUCUAGGCGGCAGGGACCCUCCCCACACCCAGCAAUGGGCAGAAGUCCUGAGGGCUCACAAAGAACGCUGGGGUGAGGCGGAAUGGGAGUGGAGCUGAGGAUCCAGCUUCAGCAAGAGUCAGUGAAACGUACCCAGAGGUCAGAAGAGGACAUCAGAAGCCCUAGAGCUGCUGGGAACCGAACUCUGCUCCUCCACAAGGCUCCCUCUGGGAAGGGGUGGGAAGGUGCAGCAUCAAUGACUCAGACACCAGGAAUACGUUGAAAGCAAAUAACGAACUCAUUUAUCCAAUAACAAG